GAAGAUAAUUUGAUCAAGAGUUACCUGCUCCGACAUGGCAAAGUGUUUCGGCGACUUCUUGAUCGGUGGCACUGACCUGAGAGGAGAGGGAAUCUUCACCUGGGAGCGCCCUUUGGCGAAGAAACUAGGAUACAAGGGGUGGCAGAAAGGUCAACCUAAUAAUUACAACGGUAAACAACAUUGCAUGAUCAUGCGUCAAAAAGAUAAGUACAAGUGGAAUGAUGCACCCUGCCAUUACAAGUUCAGGUUCAUUUGUGAACGAGCUCUUUAACAAUUUUGUCACAAAUGUACGAAGAAUAUGCAAUGACAAUACCAGUAUCUUGCUAAAUACAAACGUCUAACAUC